UGGGGAAUUUUGGACAAUGGGGGAAACCCUGAUCCAGCCAUCCCGCGUGUGCGAUGAAGGCCUUCGGGUUGUAAAGCACUUUUGGCAGGAAAGAAACGUCGCGGGUUAAUACCCCGCGAAACUGACGGUACCUGCAGAAUAAGCACCGGCUAACUACGUGCCAGCAGCCGCGGUAAUACGUAGGGUGCAAGCGUUAAUCGGAAUUACUGGGCGUAAAGCGUGCGCAGGCGGUUCGGAAAGAAAGAUGUGAAAUCCCAGAGCUUAACUUUGGAACUGCAUUUUUAACUACCGGGCUAGAGUGUGUCAGAGGAGGUGGAAUUCCGCGUGUAGCAGUGAAAUGCGUAGNUAUGCGGAGGAACACCGAUGGCGAAGGCAGCCUCCUGGGAUAACACUGACGCUCAUGCACGAAAGCGUGGGGAGCAAAACAGGAUUAGAUACCCUGGUAGUCACGCCCUAAACGAUGUCAACUAGCUGUUGGGGCCUUCGGCCUUGGUAG
rnacentral:rRNA from 1 species